rnacentral:lncRNA from 1 species
ACUUCUAGUAUUGUUUUACUGUGAAUUCUUUUCGUUGUUGUGAUUGGCGUUCUAAUUCUUCUCACAUACAAGCUUGUCUAUAGUCUGAGGAUUUCUGUUAUUUUUGCUACCAAUUUUUUUCCAUAUCCCAUGUUAGGAUCAAUCUAAAAGGUUGAAAAUUUCAUAUCUGAAUAUUUUUUUCGUUAUCUGGAAAGUUACUUUUGACGGCGGAUCUUGAUUGUUUCUGUGGGGCUUCUUUCUCAUGGAUAGGGAUCACUCACGGGGAAAAAAUGGAAAAUUGUCGAAACUAAUUUGACUUUUAUGUAUACUAGCAUAAAAUCGAGAAUGGAAAUGGGG